rnacentral:lncRNA from 1 species
CUACCACGUUUUUCCCCUAACAAAGCCAGCCUGUGUUGUUCUUUUAAGAGGAUUCUUUUCCAGCAACAUCUACAAGGGCCUUCCUCAACAAAGACCUCUGGAGUUUUUUGCUUUUUAAUUCCUUUUGUUUGAAAGAAAGAAAGAGACUGCGUUUUUGCAACUAUGCAUACAUGUGGUACUGUGUCUAGACAACCCCCCCCGGGGAACAAAGGAUUCGGACGAAGGAUCGAUGCCUUAAGCAUAAGAAGAGAGCUGCUGCGGU